CAAUAGGAGCCCAGUAAACAUUUGUUUAUGAAUGAAAGAAUGAAUGUUGCCCUUGCCGCACAAGUGCAUUCCAUCCCUUGCCUUGGAAUGGGACCCCUCUUUCAGCAAAGACAAGAACUGAGGAAGAAGAACCAACCUGACAUCUUGAAGAAGAACUGAUCUGACAUUUUGUUGCUGUGACUUGAGCCGCCUACUUCUCAUCAGCAAAGGUAUGGGUCUUUGCCCCUAUGGCUAGAAAGACCUUAACCUCCUUUCCUGCUGCUCCCCCUCUAUGCUAUUCUAUACAAUGUACUGGGAAGGCUGCUGCCUCUAAGGCCUUCUCCAAAGUUUCUUGUCUCCUUGAAUCCUUUGUGAACAGGCAAGUGGCAAUGAAAGCAAUUAAAGAACCCCAGCCAGGUUUAUGCUCUGGUGUGUUCCAAAGGCCCCACUGCCUUCUGUGCUCAAGUAGCUGCUGCUCAAGUGGGCAAGGGCUCUCCUUUCCUCUUUCCUCUUUCUCCUUUAAACUGAGGAUUAGGGCUACUGAAAUUGUGUGGGCCUAGGUCAGGCACUUAAAAACCCUGGUAAUGGCACCUCAGUCCAG
ensembl:lncRNA